rnacentral:lncRNA from 1 species
CCCCCCCCGUAGGAUCCUUGAGCGGUUGCAGCGGCAGCCAACUGCUCCAUAUUUGGCUUCUAUUACACAUUUACAUACUGGAGCAAGCGAGCAAGCAAGAGAGAGAGGGAGGGAGGGAGAGAGAGGGAAAGGGGGGGUGGAGGGAGGAGGGAGAGAGGGAGGGGAGUGGAGGAGGAGGAGAGAGCAGUGUAUACCGCAGACAUCAUUUCUACUACAGUGGCAGAGACGUCCAGGACCUGUUUCACUGCAGGGGGAUAAAAAACAAGCCCUGUGGAUCAGCAACAGCAGCAGCAAGCAGCAACAGCCGCCGCAAGACAUUGUUUCUCUCCCUCUGCCCCCCUUCCCCAAGCAACCCCAGAUCCAUUUACACUUUACACUGCAUCACAAGGCAAGCCAGCAGGGUGGUCCAUUCGAACUUUGGAUUUAUUCAUGGUCUUUGUACAGCAGCCCCUUCUCCCAUCAUCACUACUGGGAAGUGUACUAUAAAUCAGCAUAUUGGAGCACAAUGAAAGAGUUUAUUCCCAGGCCUCAGGAGAAGUUCAGCUGCACCCAGUGA